AACAGCGGUUGUCGUUUAUAUCCUGAUCGAAAAGUGAUAACGCUAUAUACACUUCUUAAGUAUGGGAGCUUAAGUCCGGGUCAUAAUAAUAUUUAAACUGAAGAGCCGAGCGCAUGCAGCCACAAUUGUCUUUCUGACAGGCCAACUGCGCUUCGAUCAUUAUGAAUGCCAAAGGGAUUUCGAUCGCACUCGUUUGCUUAGCAACAUUACUGGUGACAGAAGCCAAGCUGGGGAAACAAGGCUGCUUUACAUGGAAUAAUCGUCGGUGUACGUGGAGAGAAGGAUUUGUUGGUAAAUCUUUUAACAUGUUGCUUAUUAUACAAUGCAAGAAGGCAGGAAAUUUACACAGCAUAUUUUGCCAGUACAUAGGCAAUCCACACAAUUGUGCAUGGUACAACAAACACCAGGCAGACUUCUACUGGUGCUUAGCGAAUGUAUUGAGAGAAGACACACAGAAUGUGUGUAAUCCCAACACAGUCGUGUGCGACAGGUGCCCAGACGUAGUAUUCGAUAAAAGGUAACACUUUCCACAACGUCGACGUCCCGCCUCUGAGAGAACAUCGACAACUGUUAUGACCAAGUCUUGGAAGGAUCUGUUGAUGACAACUACGUCGACAAUUACAAUCAAUGCCGUAAACUUUCCGUGUUGCUCAAUACAAUUCUGAAUCUGUUUUAGGCUUUUUUAUGUCUAUAUCUAUAAAUUUAUACUAUAAUCUUAUAUUUUACAAACUUAAACAACGGCCAAUAAAUAAAUUUCUUUA